GCCUUCAUGGCGCAGUGGUAACGCGUCGCACUUGUAUUAUCUGCAAUGCGAAGAUCCCUAGUUCAAUUCUGGGUGAAGGCA